UGGCGAUGAAUCUCCCUCCCCUAGGCCCCAGUAUCUGCCAAGUGUAUCAAGAAGGGCCUUAAUUCCCCCCCGCAGGCUGCGAGAUGUCGUGUCAACAUUGGUAUGGGUUAUCAGGUCGUAAUUUAUGGCCCGAUUUGUCCAUGAGAGGCACAAUGCAACACGCGGGGAGGUGGAUUGGUCGACAGAGAGACAAGAGGUUGGGGUUGGACUCUUCUCUCGGCCGGGGCAGGCAGGCAGGCAGUAAGGAAGGUAGUCGUAGCAGGCAGCAGGCAGCAAGCAGAGAAGCAGGUGUAUCUUUUAUUUUUGUUCUUUGGAUGGAUGGAGUAAAGCGCAAGUGAAGACGAUCGAUCCGAGCCGACCGGCCGGGAUGAACAGAAGCAACGAGUAUUGAUGAGCGAAAUGGCACCUGGGGCCCGCCCGGCUGCGUGCGGAGCUAGGGGUCAUCAGUUGUGAUUUGCAGAGCUUCGUGAGGUAAGCGUUGAGGUGACCACAUGAAAAGAACAAAGGGUGGCGAAAUUGGACAAGGGUUUACUGUUGCCGGACAUAGACCGUAAGCCACGACUGCACCUUGGAUCGAUCAUGCUCGAAAAUUGCAGGGCCAUUUCCGACUAAAUUGUGAGUACUAAAUCUAUCCGAACAGUGUGGACCAGCAUGGACAGCCGUGCUGUAUGCUCCUCACGAAUGGUUUGUGAUGUCUGGGAUCCAGAGCAAAAC